rnacentral:rRNA from 1 species
GACGAACGCUGGCGGCGUGCUUAACACAUGCAAGUCGAACGGAAAGGCCCUGCUUUUGUGGGGUGCUCGAGUGGCGAACGGGUGAGUAACACGUGAGUAACCUGCCCUUGACUUUGGGAUAACUUCAGGAAACUGGGGCUAAUACCGGAUAGGAGCUCCUGCUGCAUGGUGGGGGUUGGAAAGUUUCGGCGGUUGGGGAUGGACUCGCGGCUUAUGAGCUUGUUGGUGGGGUAGUGGCUUACCAAGGCUUUGACGGGUAGCCGGCCUGAGAGGGUGACCGGCCACAUUGGGACUGAGAUACGGCCCAGACGCCUACGGGAGGCAGCAGUGGGGAAUAUUGCACAAUGGGCGGAAGCCUGAUGCAGCAACGCCGCGUGCGGGAUGACGGCCUUCGGGUUGUAAACCGCUUUCGCCUGUGACGAAGCGUGAGUGACGGUAAUGGGUAAAGAAGCACCGGCUAACUACGUG